ACGGAAAACACGCUCUCCUCUGAUAACUGCAGCCCCUAACGGGGCGGAGCCUCCGAAUGCGAAAGGCUAAAGCCAAAUCUUUUCUAGCGGCUCAAACUGCCCCGGGGGUAGCGAAUCUGCAGAGCCUGCUCGCCGGAAGUAGGGCCGCCCCUCGCCGGAAGUUGCGCUUCCUCCAUUUUGUUGCCCGCUAUGGCGGCGGUGUAGAGGUUGGGGCCGGGAUGCGGCGCGUCUGACUGAGGGGGUAGGCCAGGCGGAGACAUCGGGGACAUCGUCGCGGCGCAGAAGAGAACCAGCCUGGACGCCGGGGACGCUGUCAUGUACGGCGCGACCGGAGGCCGCGCCAAAACCGAGAGGAAAAGCGGCGCGAAGGAGGAGGCCGGGCCGGGCGGUGCCGGCGGCGGGGGGAACCGAGUGGAGCUGCUGGUCUUCGGCUAUGCCUGCAAGCUGUUCCGAGACGACGAGCGGGCCUUGGCCCAGGAGCAGGGACAGCACCUCAUCCCCUGGAUGGGGGACCACAAGAUCCUCAUCGACAGAUAUGAUGGGCGCGGUCACCUGCAUGACCUUUCUGAGUGCGAUGCUGAGUAUUCCACGUGGAACAGAGAUUACCAGCUCUCUGAAGAGGAGGCACGAAUAGAGGCCCUGUGUGAUGAAGAGAGGUAUUUAGCCUUGCAUACGGACUUGCUUGAGGAAGAGGCAAGGCAAGAGGAAGAAUACAAGCGGUUGAGUGAAGCGCUAGCGGAGGAUGGGAGCUAUAAUGCAGUGGGAUUCACUUACGGCAGUGAUUACUAUGACCCGUCCGAGCCAACAGAGGAAGAGGAGCCUUCUAAACAGAGAGAAAAACACGAGGCUGAAAAUUUGGAGGAAAACGAGGAGCCUUUCAUUGCCCCUUUAGGACUGAACGUGCCGUCUGAUGUGGAGCUGCCACCAACAGCCAAAAUGCAUGCCAUUAUUGAGCGCACAGCCAACUUCGUGUGCAAACAGGGUGCACAGUUUGAAAUAAUGCUGAAGGCCAAACAGGCCCGAAACUCUCAAUUCGACUUUCUACGCUUUGAUCACUACCUCAACCCCUACUACAAAUUCAUCCAGAAAGCUAUGAAAGAAGGACGGUAUACGGUCCUGGCAGAAAACAAAAGUGAAGAGAAAAAGAAGUCGGGGGUGAGCUCUGACAAUGAAGAUGACGAUGACGAAGAGGGCGGGAGUUACCUGCACCCGUCCCUCUUCGCUUCCAAGAAGUGCAGCCGCCUGGAGGAGCUCAUGAAGCCUUUGAAGGUGGUGGACCCAGAUCACCCCCUUGCGGCACUGGUCCGUAAAGCCCAGGCCGACAGUCCUGCCCCCACUGCACCCACGGCAGAUGGCACGGCCGUGCAGCCCUCCCAGGUGGAGUACACCACUGACUCAACAGUGGCAGCCGUGUACUACAGCUACUACAUGCUGCCCGACGGUACCUACUGCCUGGCGCCUCCCCCUCCCGGGGUUGACGCAGCCGCUUUCUACAGCACCCUGCCUGCUGGCGCGGCUGUGUCCGGCUCUGCUGGGGUGACCGCCACGGCCCCGCCCCCUCCGGGGACCACACCGCCGCCCCCCCCAAGCACAGCAGAGACGAGCAGUGGGGUGACCUCCACCACCAUCACCACAAGUGCACUUGCUUCCGUGGCCGCCAUCAUCCCCCCGCCCCCCGACAUUCAGCCCGUGAUUGACAAGCUGGCAGAGUACGUGGCCAGGAACGGCCUUAAGUUUGAGACCAGCGUUCGUGCCAAGAAUGAUCAAAGGUUUGAGUUCCUGCAGCCGUGGCACCAGUAUAAUGCCUACUAUGAGUUUAAGAAGCAGUUCUUCCUCCAGAAAGAAGGGGGCGAAAGCGCACAGGCUGUGUCAGCACCGGAAGAGGCUCCUGCAGAGUCUGCUCCUGAAAAGCCGAGUGACGCUGGGGAGGAUAGUGUGUCUGAAGACGUGGCCGACGCAGGGGGCAGAGGUGGCUCCUCGGGGAAGAAGGAGGCGGCGUGCAGCAAAGUCGUCCCCGACGGGAAGCUGGUGAAAGCUUCAUUUGCUCCAAUAAGCUUUGCAAUCAAGGCCAAAGAAAAUGAUCUACUUCCCCUGGAAAAAAAUCGUGUUAAGCUAGAUGAUGACAGUGAUGAUGAUGAAGAAAGCAAAGAAGGCCAAGAAUGUUCUAGUAGCGCUACAAACACUAACCCGGCAGUUGCCCCACCCUGUGUAGUUGUUGAGGAGAAGCGGCCUCAACUUACCCAGGAGGAGCUAGAAGCAAAGCAAGCAAAGCAAAAGUUGGAGGACCGACUGGCAGCGGCUGCCAGGGAGAAGCUUGCCCAGGCGUCUAAGGAAUCGAAGGAGAAGCAGCUUCAAGCAGAACGUAAAAGGAAAGCAGCUUUAUUUUUACAAACCUUAAAAAAUCCUCUGCCAGAAGCAGAAGUCGGGAAAGUGGAAGAAAAUCCUUUCAACGUAGAGGAAGCCGGUACUGUGUCCUGCCCUCUACUGGCCGGAGGCAGACCUCUGCCCACUUUAGACAUUAAGCCUCCGGAAGGGCGCUCAAGCAAAAACAAAGACCCGCCGAGAGAAGAAGAGAGAGAGAGGAAAAAGAAAAAGCACAAAAAACGGUCUCGAACAAGAUCACGCUCUCCCAAGUACCAUUCGUCAUCCAAGUCCAGGUCUAGAUCCCACUCGAAAGCAAAGCAUUGCCUUCCCAGUGCCUAUCGGACAGCACGGCGCUCGAGGUCCCGGUCCCGGUCCCCUCGGAGACGAGCGCACUCCCCCGAGAGACGGCGGGAGGACAGGAGUGUCCCCACCGCCUACCGAAUGAGUAACAGCCCUGGAGUCAGCAGGAAGCGGACCCGGUCCAGCAACACGCAGCCCGGGAGGAAGAGGGGAGCGGCAGAAACUGAGACGGGGGCUGAUGAAACCAGCGGUGACCUGUGCCUGCAGAGACUCCAGGAGACGGUCGCAGCAGGAGGGCGGCCUGCAGCUGUGGCGCCCGCGGGUUCUGGUGGUCUCAGGAGAAGCGGGGAGGGGCCUGCACCUCAGCGCUCCCACCACCUGCACAUUCCCUCUUGCCGGCUGUGCUUCAGGGCCGCGGGGAGGAGGGUCACAGGGCAGGGCGUGGAGCGGAGUGAGCCCCGCCUCUGGGCGGGAGGCGGUGGGCCCAGGCGAAGUGCAGUGCGGGCUGCGGGUCUGGAGGGGGAGGAGGAGCUGGGGGGCGUUUCUGACGUGGAAUCACGGGCCUUGGCGACUCGGAGGACGUGGGCCGUGGGCAGCGAGGCACGGCCGUGAGGGCCGGUGGGAGAGCAGGUGGCCCCGGGGGCCCGCCAGCCUCAGGCCGGAAGGACACGCGAGCGUCUGUGCUCGCAGCGCUCGGUGUUAAUGAUUUUCCACUUCUGGUUGGAAGUUCCCAUUAAGUCAGCGUAAAGGAACAAGCAGUACAAACAGCGCUUGGUUACUUAUCUUGGGUUAUUUUAAAUGCAGAUAAAGUGCUGAUCGUGUUUUAAACCCACAGACACCUGACUUCAGGACUUCUGCCGAGAAGAAGCCCCCAUGAGAAGAAGAAGAAGAGGCGCUCACGGUCGCGGACCAAGUCCAAGGCCGGCUCCCAGCCAGCCUCCCCGAGCAAGCAGGCCGCGCGCCGGCACUCAGCCAGCG